AUGUUGAAAAUUUCAUAGAAAAUCGUUUGUAAAUAAAAACUAGAAAAGUAUUAUUAAUUUUAACGAUAUCUACCUACCUACGGUUUCAGUGUAAUUUCACAUUUACAAUGCCGAUAUAAUUUUAGGUGCAUUAUUUCAAUAACCAGAACAUUUAAGUCUUAAAAAUAUGAGUCCGCCUUAUCUAAGUUAUAUUAUACAUAUAGAG